rnacentral:rRNA from 1 species
UACGAAGGGGGCUAGCGUUGCUCGGAAUUACUGGGCGUAAAGCGCACGUAGGCGGCUUUCUAAGUCGGGGGUGAAAUCCUGGAGCUCAACUCCAGAACUGCCUUCGAUACUGGAGAGCUCGAGUCCGGAAGAGGCGGGUGGAAUUCCUGGUGUAGCGGUGAAAUGCGCAGAUAUCAGGAGGAACACCGAUGGCGAAGGCAGCUCGCUGGGACGGUACUGACGCUGAGGCGCGAAAGCGUGGGGAGCAAACAGG